GGCGGGACCCCACGCUGCUAUCAGGGGCUGGAUUUCUCAGCUUCCACCCGGAUUCUCCCUCGGCUCUCCCGGCCGAUUCGGUGCUGCUCGGCGACCACGUGACACAGGCUGCCUUUGACCCCUGCCUCGGAGCGGGUCUUCAGAGCUGCUGUUCACCAAGCUGGACCCGAGGCCCUCCAGCUCACUGUCCCCCAGAACGCCUGGGAGGAGGCAAGGCCAAGGCCCCACCCAGGGAAAGGCCUCCUCCGUGGGUCGAAGGGAAGCUGAGGACUUGCAUUUCUCACCACACCCUGGGAGACUCUGUGCAGACUCUCCUGCUCCUCCUUUCCCUCAGGACCCACCCACAUCUCCCAGAGCUCUGGGGGCCUUCUUUGUGCUGACAACCACCCCUGCCCAAACCCCUCCUCAGCCCUAAAUGGCCUCCCCACUGCCUGCUGGACACUCCCCUUGGCUGUCCCCAAGACACCUUUCUCCAGCUCCACAAGUCAAAGGCUGGACUCAUCGUCCACCCUUCCCGUGAGUCCAAUUCAGAAAUCCAACACCAGCCCCUUGUCCCCAAACCGCCCAUCCACGAGCCAGUCCCACCAGUCCUGCCUCCAGCUUUCUCCCUAACCCACCCUCAGUGCUCCGUCCCAGCCACCCCAGUGCAAGCCGCCAUCUUCUCUCUGCCUUGUGUGAAUGUCGUGACUCGUCUUAACAGCCUCUUAAACACAUUCCCUGCC